UUGGUGAGGUAAUGGCUCACCAAGGCGACGACGGGUAGCCGGCCUGAGAGGGCGACCGGCCACACUGGGACUGAGACACGGCCCAGACUCCUACGGGAGGCAGCAGUGGGGAAUAUUGCACAAUGGGCGAAAGCCUGAUGCAGCGACGCCGCGUGAGGGAUGACGGCCUUCGGGUUGUAAACCUCUUUCAGCAGGGAAGAAGCGAAAGUGACGGUACCUGCAGAAGAAGCGCCGGCUAACUACGUGCCAGCAGCCGCGGUAAUACGUAGGGCGCAAGCGUUGUCCGGAAUUAUUGGGCGUAAAGAGCUCGUAGGCGGCUUGUCACGUCGGGUGUGAAAGCCCGGGGCUUAACCCCGGGUCUGCAUUCGAUACGGGCAGGCUAGAGUGUGGUAGGGGAGAUCGGAAUUCCUGGUGUAGCGGUGAAAUGCGCAGAUAUCAGGAGGAACACCGGUGGCGAAGGCGGAUCUCUGGGCCAUUACUGACGCUGAGGAGCGAAAGCGUGGGGAGCGAACAGGAUUAGAUACCCUGGUAGUCCACGCCGUAAACGGUGGGAACUAGGUGUUGGCGACAUCCCACGUCGUCGGUGCCGCAGCUAACGCAUUAAGUUCCCCGCCUGGGGAGUACGG
rnacentral:rRNA from 1 species